AUUGAACGCUGGCGGCAGGCCUAACACAUGCAAGUCGAACGAGUGGCGGACGGGUGAGUAACGUCUGGGAAACUCCCUGAAGGAGGGGGAUAACUCCGGGAAACGGUAGCUAAUACCCCAUACCACAGGAUGUGCCCAAAUGGGAUUAGCUGGUUGGUGGGGUAACGGCUCACCAAGGCGACGAUCCCUAGCUGGUCUGAGAGGAUGACCAGCCACACUGGAACUUAGACACGGUCCAGACUCCGACGGGAGGCAGCAGUGGGGAAUAUUGCACAAUGGGCGCAAGCCUGAUGCAGCCAUGCCGCGUGUAUGAAGAAGGCCUUCGGGUUGUAAAGUACUUUCAGCGGGGAGGCGUUACCCGCAGAAGAAGCACCGGCUAACUCCGUGCCAGCCGCCGCGGUAAUAC
rnacentral:rRNA from 1 species